rnacentral:lncRNA from 1 species
GUCCUCUCCCGAGUGCUGCUGCCAUGACUCACCCAUCAGGCCAGCUGCGCAGUCUGUCCCGCAGGGUGGUGUCAUGAAUGCCACAACUAGGUGACAUCUAUCUUCUAGAGGAUUCUGAGAAACAAAAGGAGGGCACAGAACAUCUUAGAGCAUCUUGCUCUUGCCUGGACAGGAAGGAGACUAAGGGAGAGCUGAAGAGUUUGGACUGUGGAAGCAAAAUGAACUGAGGAGGUGAAAAGCAUUAUGUUGUGGUUCACAGGGAAAUGGAUGAA